GAUGAACGCUGGCGGCGUGCUUAACACAUGCAAGUCGAACGAACCUUCGGGUUAGUGGCGGACGGGUGAGUAACGCGUGAGAAUCUGCCCUCAGGAGGGGGAUAACGGCUGGAAACGGCCGCUAAUACCCCAUAUGCCGAGAGGUGAAAUGAAUUUCGCCUGAGGAUGAGCUCGCGUCUGAUUAGCUAGUUGGUGUGGUAAAGGCUCACCAAGGCAUCGAUCAGUAGCUGGUCUGAGAGGAUGAUCAGCCACACUGGGACUGAGACACGGCCCAGACUCCUACGGGAGGCAGCAGUGGGGAAUUUUCCGCAAUGGGCGCAAGCCUGACGGAGCAACGCCGCGUGAGGGAUGAAGGCCUCUGGGCUGUAAACCUCUUUUAUCAAGGAAGAAGAUCUGACGGUACUUGAUGAAUAAGCCACGGCUAAUUCCGUGCCAGCAGCCGCGGUAAUACGGGAGUGGCAAGCGUUAUCCGGAAUUAUUGGGCGUAAAGCGUCCGCAGGCGGUCUUGAAAGUCUGUUGUUAAAGCGUG
rnacentral:rRNA from 1 species